rnacentral:rRNA from 1 species
GAUGAACGCUAGCUACAGGCUUAACACAUGCAAGUCGAGGGGAAACGACAUUGGAAGCUUGCUUCCGAUGGGCGUCGACCGGCGCACGGGUGAGUAACGCGUAUCCAACCUGCCCACCACUUGGGGAUAACCUUGCGAAAGUAAGACUAAUACCCAAUGACGUCCAUAGAAGACAUCUGAAGUGGAUUAAAGAUUUAUCGGUGAUGGAUGGGGAUGCGUCUGAUUAGCUUGUUGGCGGGGUAACGGCCCACCAAGGCGACGAUCAGUAGGGGUUCUGAGAGGAAGGUCCCCCACAUUGGAACUGAGACACGGUCCAAAACUCCUACGGGAGGCAGCAGUGAGGAAUAUUGGUCAAUGGGCGAGAGCCUGAACCAGCCAAGUAGCGUGCAGGAUGACGGCCCUAAUGGGUUGUAAAACUGCUUUUAUAAGGGAAUAAAGUGGAGGUCGUGACCUCUUUUGCAUGUACCUUAUGAAUAAGGACCGGCUAAAUUCCGUG